CGGCGCCGACCACGGCACACACCGACCUAAUACUCCGCUUUCAGACCUUACAUGACAGAGCCCUACUAAUGGAGGCUGCACGUGGAAGAACACCACUAUCGUUUGAGGGAGCCACGCUGUCCAUAUUCCCGGACCUGACCAAAAGCACUAUGGAGUGGCGCAAGGCCCUGCAACCCCUGCUACAACACCUCAGAAAUAAGAAUAUCCAGUACAAAUGGGGGUCUCCGAAUACGAUUACCUUUACUCAUCAGGACACAACGUACCGAGCCAGGAGCUACUCCGAACUGGACACACACCUACGCAAUGCAGGACUGUUGCCGCCCGC